UGCCUUUAUGUGUUGCCCUUUCACUGUUCCUGUUGUGAUUGGGGUGUCAAAUAAGGCAUACAGCGACUCUUGUGGUUGUCUAUUGAGUGAGACUUUUAAGUGACUCGCUUUCAUAAACAGCUACAAGGACAAAC